AUUGAACGCUGGCGGCAGGCCUAACACAUGCAAGUCGGGCGAGCCGCGUACGGGUGAGUAAUGUAUGGGGAUCUGCCUGAUGGAGGGGGACCACUACUGGACACGGUAGCUACUACCGCAUACAAUCAGCUGAACCCAUAUGGGAUUAGCUUGUGGGUGAGGUAACGGCUUACCUAGGCGACGAUCCCUAGCUGGUCUGAGAGGAUGAUCAGUCACACUGGAACUGAGACACGGCCCAGACGCCUACGGGAGGCCGCAGUGGGGAAUAUUGGACAAUGGGCGAAAGCCUGAUGCAGCCAUGCCGCGUGUAUGAAGAAGGCCUUCGGGUUGUAAAGUACUUUCAGUCGGGAGGCGUUACCGACAGAAGAAGCACCGGCUAACUCCGUGCCAGCAGCCGCGGUAAUUC
rnacentral:rRNA from 1 species